UACGUAGGGGGCGAGCGUUGUCCGGAAUCAUUGGGCGUAAAGAGCGCGUAGGCGGUUCGGUAAGUCUGCCGUGAAAACCUGGGGCUCAACCCUGGGCGUGCGGUGGAAACUGUCGAGCUAGAGGAUGGUAGAGGGGAGUGGAAUUCCCGGUGUAGCGGUGAAAUGCGCAGAUAUCGGGAGGAACACCAGUAGCGAAGGCGGCUCCCUGGGCCAUAACUGACGCUGAGGCGCGAAAGCUAGGGGAGCAAACAGG
rnacentral:rRNA from 1 species